rnacentral:tRNA from 3 species
GGAGACGUGGGUGAGUGGCUGAAACCAGUUCCCUGCUAAGGAACCAGACGGGGUAACCUGUCUCGAGGGUUCGAAUCCCUCCGUCUCCGCCA